AACGAACGCUGGCGGCAUGCCUAACACAUGCAAGUCGAACGAGACCUUCGGGUCUAGUGGCGCACGGGUGCGUAACGCGUGGGAACCUGCCCUUAGGUUCGGAAUAACUCCCCGAAAGGGGUGCUAAUACCGGAUAAUGUCUUCGGGCCAAAGAUUUAUCGCCUUUGGAUGGGCCCGCGUUGGAUUAGCUAGUUGGUAGGGUAAAAGCCUACCAAGGCGACGAUCCAUAGCUGGUCUGAGAGGAUGAUCAGCCACACUGGGACUGAGACACGGCCCAGACUCCUACGGGAGGCAGCAGUGGGGAAUAUUGGAAAAUGGGCGAAAGCCUGAUCCAGCAAUGCCGCGUGAGUGAUGAAGGCCUUAGGGUUGUAAAGCUCUUUUACCCGGGAUGAUAAUGACAGUACCGGGAGAAUAAGCUCCGGCUAACUCCGUG
rnacentral:rRNA from 1 species